ACUCAAAUGAAUAGACGGGGACCCGCACAAGCAGCGGAGCAUGUGGUUUAAUUCGACGCAACGCGAAGAACCUUACCUGGGCUUGACAUGUCUCUGACAGCCGUGGAAACACGGUCUCCCUUCAGGGCAGAGUCACAGGUGGUGCAUGGCUGUCGUCAGCUCGUGUCGUGAGAUGUUGGGUUAAGUCCCGCAACGAGCGCAACCCCCGUCGCAUGUUGCCAGCAUUUAGUUGGGGACUCAUGCGAGACUGCCGGUGACAAACCGGAGGAAGGUGGGGAUGACGUCAAGUCAUCAUGCCCCUUAUGUCCAGGGCUACACACGUGCUACAUUGGCGCGUACAGAGGGCUGCGAUACCGUGAGGUGGAGCGAAUCCCUCAAAGCGCGUCUCGGUUCGGAUUGCAGGCUGAAACUCGCCUGCAUGAAGGCGGAGUUGCUAGUAAUCGCGGAUCAGCAAUGCCGCGGUGAAUACGUUCCCGGGUCUUGCACACACCGCCCGU
rnacentral:rRNA from 1 species